UACGUAGGGUGCAGGCGUUAAUCGGAAUUACUGGGCGUAAAGGGCGCGUAGGCGGUCAGCACAAGUCAGUUGUGAAAUCUCCGGGCUUAACUCGGAAAGGUCAACUGAUACUGUGCGACUAGAGUGCGGAAGGGGCAACUGGAAUUCUCGGUGUAGCGGUGAAAUGCGUAGAUAUCGAGAGGAACACCUGCGGCGAAGGCGGGUUGCUGGGCCGACACUGACGCUGAUGCGCGAAAGCCAGGGGAGCGAACGGG
rnacentral:rRNA from 1 species